rnacentral:rRNA from 1 species
AUUGAACGCUGGCGGCAGGCCUAACACAUGCAAGUCGAACGGUAGCACAGAGAGCUUGCUCCCGGGUGACGAGUGGCGGACGGGUGAGUAACGUCUGGGAAACUGCCCGAUGGAGGGGGAUAACUACUGGCAACGGUAGCUAAUACCGCAUAACGUCACAAGACCAAAGUGCGGGACCUUCGGGCCUCACACCAUCGGAUGUGCCCAGAUGGGAUUAGCUAGUAGGUGGGGUAAUGGCUCGCCGAGGCGGCGAUCCCUAGCUGGUCUGAGAGGAUGACCAGCCACACUGGAACUGAGACACGGUCCAGACUCCUACGGGAGGCAGCAGUGGGGAAUAUUGCACAAUGGGCGCAAGCCUGAUGCAGCCAUGCCGCGUGUAUGAAGAAGGCCUUCGGGUUGUAAAGUACUUUCAGCGGGGAGGAAGGCGGUGAAGUUAAUAACUUCACCGAUUGACGUUACCCGCAGAAGAAGCACCGGCUAACUCCGUGCCAGCAGCCGCCGUAA